AAUUAAUAAAAUAUAAUUCAUAAAAAAUGCACGUAUUAAUUUUUUCAUAUUCGUCCUUUUUUUAAAUUUGAUUUUACCAAUUAUUGACUCUAAUAUUCUAUUUAUUAAUAAUUUUAAAUUUAUCUGAUAUCUGCUACAUUCACACUUAUCUUGUAAUUUACAAUAAAAUAGAUUUGAUUUAUUGCAAUAAUAGAAGUGACAAAAACUGGGUUAAUAAUUAAGAAAAAUGGUCGGCACAUGUUUUUCAAUGUGUUCAGGAAAAGAAUGACGUCUAAGAGAACGAGAAGGUUUAUUACGCAUUUCAGAGAUCGAUGGAAAACCUAAAAAUCAAAGGCACAAAAAAGCUGAUUCCACUAAAAUAAUGAAAUGUUUUCAAAGAUCCAGUGUAGAGUUUCACUCCAAAAAGGCAUACGCUGGAGCUUAAUUUAUGAAUUAACAUUCAACAGGAUCCGGGCAAUAAAACAAGACAUGAUCAUAUAGAGAUUAGAUUCAACCAAAAGCAUUAAAAUUUUAGAACCAGUUUUUAAAUUUCAUAUUUAUGCUGCUGAAAGAAUACGGAAGAGACCUUUAAGGAAUUUUGUUCACAAAUUAAAUGAUCAGCAUUUACUGGAAUUAAACGAUUAGUCGUCCUGUACGACGAUAUCAAUUAUGCCAGCGCUGACGUUCACGAGGAAAAGAAACCAACGAAUUAAUUGGAAAAAAAAAAA